CCAAGACAAAGGAGCUUCAGAAGAGAAAAGCAACCUUUGCUUUACAACCCGAUUUCCCCCCAACCUCAACCCACCAAACCCCCCACCUCCAUCUUUCUCACUAUGUACUUCUAUAUUUAGUGGCACCCUUGUAUACAGCUUCAAACCCACAAACCUAAUUCUUUCCAUACCCUUUCUUGGUUUGUGCGAUUUCAAAAGGGUUUGAUGCUUCUUUUUAAAAGGAUUAAAUGGGUUAUAGGCUUUUCUUUCUUCUUUAAUUUGACCCAAUUUUGAUCCUCCAAACCUCUUCCUCUUUCAUGAAUCCUCAAAUAUAUGUACCAAGAAAAACCCUAUUAAUUUCUCGCUUCACCUUGGUAGCCAUUCUAUGUGAUGAAAAUUGCAUAUCGCAUGGACACAAUAACUAGGUUUUCAUAAGAUUGUAAACAUUUCAGCAGGUAUAUAUGUAGGAUUUAUGUAUAGUGUGGAUGUCCAAGUAUACGUAUAUGCCUGGCUCCCUGUAUGCCAUUUGCAGAGCCCACCGAUGAACCGAUGGCCCUCCGCGGAUGGCGUAUGAGGAGCCAAGCAUAUUCACAUAUCGUAUACACGCUGCAGAAAAUGAACUAGAGACGUAAGAAUGAAAGUGAAAUAUGCUUAUGGGAAAUGAUUCCAUCAGACAUAGAAUUACACGACAGUUUUACAAGAGACUAGUGUCAAAUCACUUCACGUGGAACAAGGAGCCUGUGCAACCUGUAGAAUUAUAUGUUGUUCAUAUUCCGAUAAGGGCAUCCACAUUCUCUAUAAACAGACAACAUGAAAGUUACAAACUUUGCUAGAUUACUUUACAGUACAUCAUUUUUGAUAGAAACCACUGUAGUAUUAGAAUCUUGACACCCACUUUCUUAAAUAAAAAAAAUUGCAUUGUUGUGACUUGUGUCAACUUUGUUUACAUAAUACAUGUAGUAUUAACGUUGAUCGAAAAAUUAAUAUAAUUACUGUUUAUUUA